UUCCAAUUUCCAACUACAUUUAAUUACAAUCAUAAACUAAACUUUACAUUCAAGUUUCAUCCUACAAAAUCUACAACAAUAAAUCCUACUUUGCAAAGCUAAGCCAAUGCCCAUUUCUAAGUCCAUUCCAAACCCAAAAUAGUCCAAGAAUCCAUUCAAGGCAUAACAUGAUAGCAACUCCAUGGAAAAGGAGUCCAUUUGAUCAUAGGCUACAAAAAAUCCAAACCAAAACUAACAUUAGGCAUCCAUAUAUAUCACAGUAAAUAUUAGCAUCAACACAUCAAUGGCAAUAGCAUUCCACCUAAUACUAACUCUCAUAACAGAAAGAGAAUUAACCAACUAAUAUAACCCAACAAACAUCAACUACCUGGAACAUAGAACCAAUUACAUUUCCCUAACUGAACUCCAAUCCCUUCAAAGAACCAACUCAGAAUCUAAAAUCACCUGCAUAAUGUAACAGAGACCUCACAACCAUAAAACUGGCUGCAACCUGCAAAAACCAACCUCACCCUUUAACUUCGCAUAACAGAAACCGAAACUGAACCAAUCCCCUUAGAGUCUUUAACUCCCAACUGUUAUAACAAAUCACCUAACUCCCUUCAACCAUCUUCCACUGAACCUCACCUUCCAUAAAAACAAACCUCAACCUCUCACCAAGAAAUCAGAGAGAAAUCAGAAAACAAACAGAAGC
rnacentral:lncRNA from 1 species